rnacentral:rRNA from 1 species
GAUGAACGCUGGCGGCGUGCCUAAUACAUGCAAGUCGAGCGAACAGAUAAGGAGCUUGCUCCUUUGACGUUAGCGGCGGACGGGUGAGUAACACGUGGGUAACCUACCUAUAAGACUGGGAUAACUUCGGGAAACCGGAGCUAAUACCGGAUAACAUUUGGAACCGCAUGGUUCUAAAGUGAAAGAUGGUUUUGCUAUCACUUAUAGAUGGACCCGCGCCGUAUUAGCUAGUUGGUAAGGUAACGGCUUACCAAGGCAACGAUACGUAGCCGACCUGAGAGGGUGAUCGGCCACACUGGAACUGAGACACGGUCCAGACUCCUACGGGAGGCAGCAGUAGGGAAGCUUCCGCAAUGGGCGAAAGCCUGACGGAGCAACGCCGCGUGAGUGAUGAAGGGUUUCGGCUCGUAAAACUCUGUUAUUAGGGAAGAACAAACGUGUAAGUAACUGUGCACGUCUUGACGGUACCUAAUCAGAAAGCCACGGCUAACUACGUG